GUCUGUAUCCGUGCCACCCUGAACGCACCUUAUCUUGGAAGCUAAGGAGGUUCGGCUUGGGUUCGUACCUGAGUGGGAGAAAGGGAAGAGAUGGAAAAG
rnacentral:rRNA from 1 species